UACGGAGGGUGCAAGCGUUAUCCGGAUUCACUGGGCUUAAAGGGUGCGUAGGCGGGCAAUUAAGUCAGUGGUGAAAUCUCCGGGCUUAACCCGGAAACUGCCAUUGAUACUAUUUGUCUUGAAUACUGUGGAGGUCAGCGGAAUAUGUCAUGUAGCGGUGAAAUGCUUAGAUAUGACAUAGAACACCAAUUGCGAAGGCAGCUGGCUACACAAAUAUUGACACUGAGGCACGAAAGCGUGGGGAUCAAACAGG
rnacentral:rRNA from 1 species